AUACGGAGGAUGCGAGCGUUAUCCGGAUUUAUUGGGUUUAAAGGGAGCGUAGGCGGGAGCUUAAGUCAGCGGUUAAAUGGUGCGGCUCAACCGUGCCCUGCCGUUGAAACUGGGUUUCUUGAGAGUGCAAGAGGCGGAUGGAAUUCAUGGUGUAGCGGUGAAAUGCUUAGAUAUCAUGAAGAACUCCGAUUGCGAAGGCAGUCCGCUGGGGCACGUCUGACGCUGAUGCUCGAAGGUGCGGGAAUCAAACAGGAUUAGAUACCCUGGUAGUCCGCACGGUAAACGAUGAUUACCCGCUGUCGGCGGCAGACAGUCGGCGGCCAAGCGAAAGCGAUAAGUAAUCCACCUGGGGAGUACGACCGCAAGGUUGAAACUCAAAUGAAUUGGCGGGG
rnacentral:rRNA from 1 species